rnacentral:lncRNA from 1 species
UUGUUUUACUUAAAACAUUCCUUGUGUUGUUUCAGUUCAUUGGAAUUUGUGUAGGUUGCCCUAGUCAUUAAGUACCUUGUAUCAAUGUGUUUCAGUUAAUUUUCAUUGUUGCAAAUCUCAAUGUCAAGAUUAUUUCAAUGUAACUAUGUUUUGAAGGGUUUGUGAAUGUUUAUGGGUAAUUUUAUCCAAUAGCCUCCCAUGUUUUAAAUUGUAAUUAAGUUGUGUUUAUUACAAUUGUGGAAAAUUAUAAUUGAUAAGACUAUAAUUAUAAUCAUAACAUCAUUGUGAGACUCUCAAACUAACUAUAAUAUUAUAGUCAUAAUUUAAGUUAUAAAGUACAAUUUAAAAUAAUGACCCUCUAUGUCAACUGUGCAUGUCAAUUUUAAAUUGAUAUGAAGUUUUAUUUUAUUAAUAUUCCUUUGUAAAAGUUGGUAGUUGUCUUUUAUUGUAAUACUUUAGUUAUAAUUGUCCAUACGUCAUAAAGUUCGAUUCAGUUGCUACUAACUCAUCCUAAACAUUAACAUAGUUGUACAAAAUGCUAGCAGAUUAUUAUAUGGUACACAUACCUUGUGUCUUUAUAAGUACAUAAUUAGUUUCAGAGUUAAUUUUCAAAUGUCUUCAUAAAAACAGAUUUAGUUGUAUUAUAUUAUCUAGAAAACAAUUUACACUAUUAAUCAUUUAUAUAUUACCAUAUCAUUAAAAAUAUUUAACUUGUUAUCUUAAUUAAUUAUAUUUUAAGUCACACUUAUAGUAAUUUAUAAUUGGUUUGUAGUGUAAAAACUUUUAUUAAACUUAAAUGGAUAUAACAAUAAUUAUCAAACAAAAGGAGUGCUAGCAAUAAAUCCUCUAACACACUUGUUCUCUACUAGAACAUAAAGAUAUAGACAAUGGUUGAUCAGUUGUUGAGGAGGGAGAAGAGGAUAAUCGUCAAAGUAGCAGGAUGAGGUAGGAGAGCUGGAUUGAAGAAUGUGCUUCAAGUUGCUUUUGUAGCAAUCAUUUAGCAUUUGUCAUCAUUUAUUAAAGCAUCUUUAAGAAUUUUGCUACUUGCAGACUAAAUUGUGUACCCCAACUUUACAUUGAUUAUGCAACAAUGUUAUUACAAGUUUGAUCAUACUAGUAAAAUUGUACAACUUCUUUAUAAAGCAGAAGGGCAAAAAUAAGAAGAAUUUUUUUAUACGAGGCUUAUUUCUUUUCUUAAAAGAAAGUUAUACAAAAUUGACAUAACUAAUUGAAGUUCACUCCAUAAUAUACCCAUUAACAUUCUAAUAAUUGGUUAUUAUUCUUAAUUAUUACAAAUGAUUCAUAUGAUUUUUUUAGUUUUGUUAGUUUUUGGAACACAUCAAGGUCAAAUUAGACCUUAGUGAUAAAAAAUGUUAUUGUGACAUAAUUUUAGAUAUUUAUUCAUCGAUGAGGGAUCAUAUUUAUAAUGAGAUUAAGACUUAUCAUUUCUCAUCUCAUUUUAGAAUAUGACUUAUGAGUCUAAUCCACUUAAUAUUAAGUUUUUGUACUACUAAGGGUAUUCUUUUAUAUUUUUAGGUAAAGAACUAAUCUCUUUUGGGUUUCGUUGCUGGCUCUCAAUAAGUAUAAUUCCCAGGAAUCAAAUAUUAAAUCUUAAGAAUCUAAUGAAGCCUUAAACCACUAGAUCAACGCCUUUUUGAUUACUAAUACCAUUUUAGAUAUGACUUAUGAGUCCAAUGAGUAACUUUGUAUCACACCAUAAUUAAUCCAACAACUUGCAACAAAAGCUCCUCCUAUAUAUAACAUAGCUAUGCAACUAGCUAAUCCCACAUUCCCACCCAACAACACAAAAAAUCAUACAACAAAAAUGCUUCACAUUCUUCUCCUCCUCCUUCCUCUUCUCUUAUCCAUUUCCAAUGCUUCUGUCAAUGAUUUCUGUGUAGCAGACCUUAAUGGUCCAGAUGGUCCUUCAGGCUAUCCCUGCAAGCCUCCUACAAAAGUAACCACACAUGACUUCGUAUAUGCUGGCUUAGCUGCUUCAGGAAACACCACAAACAUUAUCAAUGCUGCUGUAACACCUGCAUUUGUUGCUCAAUUCCCAGGUCUAAAUGGCCUUGGUCUUUCUGCAGCAAGGUUAGACAUUGCUUCUGGUGGUGUAAUCCCUCUUCAUACUCACCCUGGUGCUUCUGAGUUAUUGAUAGUAACACAAGGUCGUGUCACUGCUGGGUUUAUAACAUCAGAUAAUUCAGUUUAUGUGAAGACACUUUCAAAGGGAGAACUUUUCAUUUUGCCACAAGGGUUGUUGCAUUUUCAAUUAGGUUAUGGUAAGAGAAAAGCUGUUGCUUAUGCUGUUUUCAGUAGCUCAAGUCCAGGGCUUCAAAUACUUGAUUUUGCAUUGUUUGCAAGCAACUUUUCUUCUUCUUUGAUUACACAGACUACUUUCCUUGACCCUGAACAAGUGAAGAAGCUUAAGAGUGUUCUUGGUGGUAGUGGCUAGACCUUUUUAGUUUGGUUGUUCAUGAAUCAUUGAUUCAUUGUUUUACUUAAAACAUUCCUUGUGUUGUUUCAGUUCAUUGGAAUUUGUGUAGGUUGCCCUAGUCAUUAAGUACCUUGUAUCAAUGUGUUUCAGUUAAUUUUCAUUGUUGCAAAUCUCAAUGUCAAGAUUAUUUCAAUGUAACUAUGUUUUGAAGGGUUUGUGAAUGUUUAUGGGUAAUUUUAUCCAAUAGCCUCCCAUGUUUUAAAUUGUAAUUAAGUUGUGUUUAUUACAAUUGUGGAAAAUUAUAAUUGAUAAGACUAUAAUU